rnacentral:rRNA from 1 species
UACAGAGGGGGCAAGCGUUGUUCGGAAUUACUGGGCGUAAAGCGUGCGCAGGCGGUUUUGUAAGCCAGAUGUGAAAUCCCCGGGCUUAGCCUGGGAAUGGCAUUUGGGACUGCAAGGCUGGAGUGCGGCAGAGGAGACUGGAAUUCCUGGUGUAGCAGUGAAAUGCGUAGAUAUGCGGAGGAACACCGAUGGCGAAGGCAAUCCCCUGGGCCUGCACUGACGCUCAUGCACGAAAGCGUGGGGAGCAAACAGG